GAUGAACGCUGGCGGCGUGCCUAAUACAUGCAAGUCGAGCGAACAGACGAGGAGCUUGCUCCUCUGACGUUAGCGGCGGACGGGUGAGUAACACGUGGAUAACCUACCUAUAAGACUGGGAUAACUUCGGGAAACCGGAGCUAAUACCGGAUAACAUGUUGAACCGCAUGGUUCAACAGUGAAAGACGGUCUUGCUGUCACUUAUAGAUGGAUCCGCGCCGCAUUAGCUAGUUGGUAAGGUAACGGCUUACCAAGGCAACGAUGCGUAGCCGACCUGAGAGGGUGAUCGGCCACACUGGAACUGAGACACGGUCCAGACUCCUACGGGAGGCAGCAGUAGGGAAUCUUCCGCAAUGGGCGAAAGCCUGACGGAGCAACGCCGCGUGAGUGAAGAAGGUCUUCGGAUCGUAAAACUCUGUUAUUAGGGAAGAACAAAUGUGUAGGUAACUAUGCACGUCUUGACGGUACCUAAUCAGAAAGCCACGGCUAACUACGUG
rnacentral:rRNA from 1 species